UCCUUCCUUCUCUCCUUCCUUCCGUCCUUCCUUCCUUCCGUCCUUCCUUUUUCUUUCCUUCUUUCCAAUCCUCUUUGUUCUCCUCUCCCUCAUUUGUGUCUCCUACAGGCCCGAGGGCAUAGAUAGUGUCCUCUCGCCCUAACAGAUGAGACAGACAAGUGAACAGAUUAAAUGCAGGGGCUCCCGGACAGGCUCGAGAGUCGGGGAUGUGGGGAGCAGGAGCUGUCCUGUGCUAGUGGCGGGGUGUUAACAGGUGCAACCCCUUUGGAACAGUUUGACUGCAUCCGCUAAAGCGGAGUACAUGCCUCCCCUCCGACCCAGCCAUUCCACUUCCUUCUUUGGGUAUGCACCCAACAGAAAUGUGUACAUUUGUGCCCCAAAAGACACGAAGUAGAAUGUUCUUAGCAGUAGUAUUCAUUCAUUGCCAAAAUACUAGAAACGACCCAAAUGCUCAUCCAUAGUAAAAUAGAGAAAUUGUGGUCUCUUCACACUGGGGAUAAUGAGAAUCAACCAUCUGUAACUACAUGUAAGGACAUAAUCUAGACAUACAGCGAGAGAAGCCAGGCAUAAGAGAAGACUUCUUAGAUGAUUGUGUUUGCAUAAAGCACAAAAACAGGCAAACUAACCGAUGGGGUAGAGGUCAGGGUGGGGACACCCUGGGCAGGAGGAGUGACUGGUGGAAGAGGAACUGAUGAUGCUGUUUACACAGACUUCAUUUUGGGACAAUCCAUUGAGCUGCACACUUAAGAUCUGCAUACUUUAUGCAUCAACUAGCUCAGCCAAUGAGAAAAUACCACAACUCAGCCAAUGAGAAAAUACCACAAUGCAGCCAAUGAGAAGCCAUCAACACCCUGACAGUCUUGCUUUCCUCCAGUAGACUGUCAUUCAAAGCGGCCCCUCCCAGCUUCCUCCUUUUUGUCUGUAAGGUUCCUCUCCUUUGUUUGCUGGACUUGCUUAUGGUUCAGCUGUAGCUUUCAUGUCCUGAAAUGCAAUUCCUCUGCCAUUCCCG
rnacentral:lncRNA from 1 species